UACGUAGGGCGCAAGCGUUGUCCGGAAUUAUUGGGCGUAAAGCGCGCGCAGGCGGUUAAUUAAGUUGGGUGUUUAAGCCCGGGGCUCAACCCCGGUUCGCAUCCAAAACUGGUUGACUUGAGUGUAGGAGAGGAAAGUGGAAUUCCACGUGUAGCGGUGAAAUGCGUAGAGAUGUGGAGGAACACCAGUGGCGAAGGCGACUUUCUGGCCUAUAACUGACGCUGAGGCGCGAAAGCGUGGGGAGCAAACAGG
rnacentral:rRNA from 1 species